rnacentral:sRNA from 1 species
AGCCGUAUCGACUGGAUCGGGAAACUCUUCAAAUUAAUCUGAUGCACCGAGAAAGCUUCGUUCUUCAAUGGCGGGCCACAUCCUUCGGGACAGCUUUUAAGCCGGUGGAUUACAAAGAGGGCGAGCGCUCAAAUCUUGUUCUAUCAGAGUUUCAUCACAUCGUCGAUGCGGCUUUUUUA